AUAAUACUCCAUAGAUCAGAAAUACUGGAAUGUUCUUCAAUCGAAAGAUCCGUCGCCUCAGGAUGAAUCUGCGGUCGAUUAGGUAGUUGUUGGGGUAAUUGCCCAACAAGCCUGUAAUCGAUACGGGUUGUGGGAGCAAUAGCCCGGAGAUGGAUUCUGAGACAAGAUUCCAGGCCCUACGGGGCGCAGCAGGCGCGAAAACUUUACCAUGCAGGAAACCGUGAUAAGGAAACCCCGAGUGCCCGUAUACGCUGGCUGUCCACCAGUUUAAAAAUCUUGCUGAAGAAAGGGCCGGGCAAGACCGGUGCCAGCCGCCGCGGUAAUACCGGCGGCUCGAGUGGUGGCCGCUAUUACUGGGCUUAAAGGGUCCGUAGCUUGAUAAUAGGGUCCCUUGAGAAAUCCGCCGGCUUAACUGGCGGGCGUUCAGGGGAAACUUGUUUUCUAGGGACCGGGAGAGGUGAGGGGUACUGCCGGGGUAGGAGUGAAAUCCUGUAAUCCCGGUGGGACCACCUAUGGCGAAGGCAUCUCACCAGAACGGGUCCGACAGUGAGGGACGAAAGCUGGGGGAGCAAACCGGAUUAAAUACCCGGGUAGUCCCAGCUGUAAACUAUGUGCGUUAGGUGU
rnacentral:rRNA from 1 species